rnacentral:rRNA from 1 species
CCUACGGGUGGCAGCAGUGGGGAAUAUUGCACAAUGGGGGGAACCCUGAUGCAGCGACGCCGCGUGAGUGAAGAAGUUCUUCGGUAUGUAAAGCUCUAUUAGCAGGGAAGAAAAUGCCGGUACCUGACUAAGAAGCUCCGGCUAACUACGUGCCAGCAGCCGCGGUAAUACGUAGGGGGCAAGCGUUAUCCGGAUUUACUGGGGGUAAAGGGAGCGUAGACGGCGCUGCAAGUCCGGAGGGAAAGCCCAUGGCUGAACCAUGGUACGGCUCUGGAAACUGGGGAGCUUGAGUGCAGGAGAGGAAGGCGGAAUGCCAGGUGUAGCGGUGAAAUGCGUAGAUAUUAGGAGGAACACCGGCGGCGAAGGCGGCCUGCUGGACCGUAACUGACGUUGAGGCGCGAAAGCGUGGGGAGCAAACAGGAUUAGAUACCCGGGUAGUC